UUCGGCAAUGGGGGCAACCCUGACCGAGCAACGCCGCGUGGAGGAUGACGGUUUUCGGAUUGUAAACUCCUUUUCUCAGGGAAGAGCGAGGACGGUACCUGAGGAAUAAGUCACGGCUAACUACGUGCCAGCAGCCGCGGUAAUACGUAGGUGGCAAGCGUUAUCCGGAAUUACUGGGCGUAAAGCGCACGCAGGUGGCUGCUUAAGUCUGACGUGAAAGCUCCUGGCUUAACUGGGAGAGGUCGUUGGAGACUGGGCGGCUUGAGGCGAGGAGAGGGGUGUAGAAUUCCCGGUGUAGUGGUGGAAUGCGUAGAGAUCGGGAGGAAUACCAGUGGCGAAAAGCGGCACCCUGGCCUUGGCCUGACGCUCAGGUGCGAAAGCGUGGGGAGCGAACGGGAUUAGAUACCCGGUAGUCCACGCGGUAAACGAUGAAUACUAGGUGUAGGUGGUCUCAAAACUAUCUGUACCGCAGCUAACGCGAUAAGUA
rnacentral:rRNA from 1 species